rnacentral:rRNA from 1 species
UAAAGUUGUUGCAGUUCAACAGCUCGUAGUUGAAUUUCGGGAUCAGCAGGUUGGUCGUGACACUGGUAUGCACUGGCUUUGCUGGUUCCUCCUUUCUGAAGGACUGUAAUGCCAUUAAUUUGGUGUUGCAGGGAAACAGGACUGUUACUUUGAAAAAAUUAGAGUGUUUAAAGCAGGCUAACGCUUGAAUACAUUAGCAUGGAAUAAUGAAAUAGGACGUUCAAACCUAUUUUGUUGGUUUCUAGGAUUGACGUAAUGAUUAAUAGGG